rnacentral:tRNA from 1 species
GCUGAGGUAGCCAAGUGGUACGGCGGCCGUCUCGAAAACGGCUACGCGCAAGCGUGCAGGGGCUCGAAUCCCUUUCUCAGCGCCA